UUUUUGGGUUGUAAUGGGGAUAAGGUGUAAGGUGGGGAGUCAACACAAAAAAUGGAAAUACUAGGGGUUCAGGCUCAGAAUCUGUGUUGCUACCCUCAUAAUUAUGGUGAAUCUUUUAAUCAGGGGGUAUUCCUAUUGGGCACCAUUCAUGUAGGAAUUCAUUGGCUCUUUUUUCCUUCUUUUUAUUGCUCUUUUGAGCAUGCUUUUUGCGAACCUUAAUUCUUAUAGAUAAGUGCUUCAUCAUACUUCUCGUAAUAUUUUUUUUUCAUUUUUU
rnacentral:lncRNA from 1 species